GUUUUUACAGUUCGUUUGAGUAUUUUCAUUCAAUCCCAAAGUGUUUUAAGUUCAUCGAUCUCUUUUACAUAGUUUUCGAUAUGAUUUUAUUGUCAAGACGGUAGGUUUUGUCGAAAAAAUGUAUAUAACAAAUUGAAACACUUUGUACGAAAUAUGCCGUUCGCAUCGCAAAGUGAAUAGGCGAGCCCUGUAUCUUUGAUCGCUGAUUUUUGGUCUGGCUGCUCAUGGAGAAGGGGUAAGAGUUCAUGCGUGAUUUGAUUAGAAGAGUGGGAGAGGUUGACGAAGCCGAUCGUCUUCGUUCUAUUCACUGUGUGAUUGUUGAUCCAAAUCUCUUCUCCGCCAAUAAAUGUUGCGGAAAAUUUUAUUAGGAUUCAAGUCGGGCGAUUUGUUUUGAGCAAUUUGAGCAGGCAAUGAUUUCGUCAAUAAGAAAGGAUGCUGCGGAUCCUUGCUGCGGAUGCAGGAUAUGCCUUCAAAUACCGUUACUACAUUAACCUUCACGACGACCAUGUUCCGGACAAAAAUGGGGACGACACUGGAGCAUUUCUUUGCCUGGUUCAGCUGCGCAAUAUGUACGUGAUGCAUUUCGCUCGUUCAUGUUUUUAUUGCACCUCACACUAUCACACUGAGCGGCCGGGAUGGGCCUCCGGCUCGAAGGGAUCAUCGAGUACAAACACCAAAUGAUUGGCUCUUGUACACUUUUUCACCUUAUAUAAAGAACUUUGUAGUAAGGAAGCUCCUCACUCCUCUUCAUACAUCUGAAACGGUAUACAAUCGACACCAACAGCAGAUCGACUACACUGUGUGAACCAUCCUGUCCAGUGCAACCAGGCAACACAACAUUCCUCUUCAGCAACAGCACCAUCAUCAGCCGUGCUAGAAGCAACUCCAACUUGUUGUCGGGAGACUAAAAGAUGCAAAAUUGAUCUUAAAUAAAAGCAAACAAAUUUGUGUUAAUGGAAA